ensembl:lncRNA
AUUUAUUGGUUUGUUUGUUUGUGUUUACAUAGGGUCUCAUGUAUCCUAGGUUGGCUUUGGACUAUGUUCUAGAGAAUGACCUUUAACCUCUGAGUUCCUUUCCUCUAGCUUCCAAGUCCUAGAAUUACAGGUGUGUACCUCUAGGCUUGUUUUAUGCAUUGCUUUGAGUCAGACCCAGGGCUUUGAUCAUACUAGGUAAGCACUUUACUAAAUGAGUUACAACCUCAGGCAUGGUCUGCCUUUGUGUGGGAAGAUGGGCUUGUGGUGUUCUGUGUACUGUAGGAUUUUAGGCAUCAUUUAGAAUCCUUGACCUCAACCCACUGGGUGCCACUUCCAGGUGUGACAACCAAAAGUAUUUCUAGGUAUGUCAAUUGUCUCCUGAGAGGCAAAAAUAGCUGCCAGUAGAGAACAGACUUACAUGAUAAUUUUGUGCACUGGAAAUAUAGUAUAUCAGUGGUUCUCAACCUGUGGGUCGUGCUCCUCUGCUUUGGAGUCAGAAAUUUACAUUAUGACACAAUAGUAGCAACAUUGCAGUUAUAAAGUCGCAACAAAAAUAAUUUUAUGGUUGUGGGGGUUACCAUAACAUGAGGAACUAUAUUAAAUGGUGGCAGCACUAGGUAAGUUGAGAACCCCUUUAGUAGAUGGUCUUGAGAAUCAAAUGAAAGGCAAGUAGAAACAAAACUGAGGACGCGUAAAGUCUUAACUCAGGUGUUCUUGGUGUUUUUAAUACCCAGGAGAUUUUACCAUCCUGCCACAAAACAAUAGUCCAUCAGGAGCUCAGUGAGGAGGAAAGGGGCAUUGGAGACACUCGGCUGAAGACGGUUUUAUACGGUAAUUUAGUGUUCCUUCAUUUUGACUGAGAUGGAUCCCAUUAGGGUCUCCUGCAUCCCACGCUGGCCUCAUACUCACUCUGUAGUAUGCAUACUCAAGUUAUUUGGUCCAUGACAUGGCAUCCCAAGGCUUCCAUUGUGUUAAGCAAGCACUGUAUCAGCUGGGCUGCAUCCCUAGCCUUCUCUUCAUUGUGAGAAAGAAAAUUCUGAAAGAAGCUAAAAUGAAACGGUGGAGGCAACUGUUUUCUGCCAACCCAGGCUCUUCCGUAAAGACUGUGAAAACCAUCUUUUCCCUGGUUGCCGGCUUGUGGGAGGAAUUCUCUUUUAUAUGCCAUAACUAAUCGCUCAUGUUUUUUGUGGGAUAGCCUUUAAUUCUCCCUUGUAAGGGAGAAAAUGAGAGUGAAUUGGAUGUAAUGUGAAAAGAUCAACGAGAGAGAGAGAGAGAGAGAGAGAGAGAGAGAGAGAGAGAGAGAGAGAGAGAGAGAAUUCUCUCUCUAAAAAUACUAUAAAGGGCAACAUAGGUCUCUUAAAAUAGUAUCCUUCAUUGAAAUGUCAAAUCUCUUCAUCCCCUUGUUUUUGCUUUUGUUGUGGUGGUUUUUUUCCCAAUGCUGUUUGUGUU